rnacentral:tRNA from 1 species
GCCUGGGUGGCUCAGUCAGUUGAGCAUCUGACUUCAGCUCAGGUCAUGAUCUUGUGGCUUGUAGGUUCAAGUCCCGUGUUGGGCU